rnacentral:tRNA from 1 species
GCGGGAGUGGCGGAAUUGGCAGACGCGCUAGGUUGAGGGCCUAGUGAAGGCAACUUCAUGGGGGUUCAAAUCCCCCCUUCCGCA